CCCCAAAAAAAAUUCUGCUCGCUCAAAAUUUUUGCCCUAGCUUCUUGCCCCUGCCUCCGCCCCCAUCCCUUUCCCUCCCCACUUCCCUUCCGGCCGAUCGCCAUCGGAAACCCCCGUAGGCCCACACACCGCUCGACAUCGAAGAUCUGAUUCUUUGGAACCAUCCUCGCCCCGGGCCGCGCACCGCUCGCCAUCGGAACGCCCCGCGAGGCCGAGCCUCCGAAGUACGGAACACUCCCGCCGCGCGCCGCUCGCCGCUCGCCGCUCGCCGCCGAAGGUUGCAGAUGUUCCUUCUCCAAAGAAAGCCCCUGCGAGUUCAAGAUAGAAGUGCGAGAAAAGAAUAUUACAAAUGGAAUUGAAAUUUCUUUCUUAGUAGUGCUAUAUCGCAUAAACAAACGAGAUUUACCUGAUAAGAAUUGCUCUUACAGAUGCCGCUCUUGCAUAAGUAGAGUUGGAGAAAAGAACAUCUAUACGUAGGGCCUGGGAGGACAACAAGAAGACCAAAGCUGAGAAUAAGAAAGAGAGAUGCUGAGCUCUAUACAUCUUUGUUAUAUAACACAACUGGAUGGCUUAAGCAGAUUCUGGAUUUUGUAGUUUUGCAAUCAUUUCUCCUUGCAUGUAAUUAGCUUCACACUGAUAGUGCAAAAGGGGGACAACAGAUACAAAUCGAUUCUUGAAACCUAAAUUUUUUCAUUUUCUUGUAUAUACAUGAUAUGGAGCACCUUCCUGUCGAAGUCAUUGGCAACAUCCUCUCUCAUCUUGGAUCUGCGCGCGACGUCGUUGUAGCCUCUGCCACCUGCCGGAAAUGGCGGGAAGCCUGCAGGAAGCACCUCCACUCUCUCUCCUUCAAUUCUGAUGAUUGGCCUCGUGAUAUUACCACAAGACAGUUAGAAAUACUCAUAACCCAAACCAUAUUCCAGACUAUGGGAUUACAAUGCCUCUCUAUCCAUAUGGAUAAUGCUCAUGAAUUCUCCGCCGCUCCUGUAAUUGCUUGGCUCAUGUAUACUCGAGAAACCCUAAGGAGCCUCUCAUACAAUGUGCACACAAACCCAAAUGUGAAUAUAUUGGAGAAAUGUGGGAGGCAGAAAUUGGAAAUUUUGGAUUUGGACCACAAUUCGAUAACUGGGGUGGAGCCCAGUUACCAGAGAUUUACUUGUCUUAAAUCUCUUUCUCUGAGACACGUGAGUAUUUCCGCUUUGGAUUUGAGCUUGCUAGUGGCCGCUUGUCCAAAAAUUGAAUUUUUGACACUCGAUGCUUUGGAGAUUGUAACUUCAGAUUCGCAGUCUACUAUGGAGUUGGGCAGUCCGACGCUGAAGAGUCUUUAUGCAAAGUCAGUAGGUGUCGAUAAGAUAAUACUGGAAGCUGAUAAUCUCAAAGUUUUGCACUUAAAUGCCCUAAACCUUGAUCUAUUUGAGCUGAUCGGAAAGGGCACAUUAAAGCAUCUCAGAAUCGAUGAUGUUAGUGUCAGCCAUUUGGAUAUCGGGGAGAGCACAGAUCAUUUAGAGGUUGUUGAUGUCAGCAACUUUACAAUUAUGUGGCCAAAAUUCUACCAUAUGAUAUCAAGAUCUUCCAAAUUAAGAACACUCCGUCUUUGGGGUGUUGUGUUUGAUGAUGAGGACGAGAUCGUGGACUCGGAAACUAUUGCUAUUUCAUUUCCUCAGCUUAGACAUCUGUCAUUAAGUUAUGAAUUAAGGGAUGGGCUGCUUCAUUAUAGUCUUCAAGGCUCGUCGCCUCUAGAGAAUGUGAUGGUUUUGGAAUUGGGUUGGACCGUAAUAAGUGAGCACUUUGGGCCGUGGGUUUUUGGGAUGAUUGAGAGAUGCCCAAAUUUAAAGAAGCUUGUUAUACAUGGUGUUCUUUCUGAGGCCAAAACACGUGAAGAACGGCAGAUAUUGGCUAGUUUCACUUCUUUCAUAGUUCGUCUCAUGAGAAAAUAUGUGCAUGUUGAUGUCCAAUUCGAGUAUGAGUGAUCUUCCACUAGUGAGUUGGUCAGCAUGCUCCUCGUGAUUUUUCUUAAGAUUUUGAUUACAGUUAACAAUAUUGAAUGGUCAGGACAUUGUUGGUACCUGGUAAAAUUUUCAACGUUUUAUUGGUGUUGGGAACUCGGAGUUUUCUUGGGAAAAUCUUGUAAAGGGAUCCUCAAGGGGGAAAGUAGAUGGAAGGUCAACACUUUCACGGGAUUAUGCUCUUUUGAUCUCCAAUGAUUCCUUUUGAUCUCUCUUGUUGUAGAUGGUGAUGGUGAACUUUUUGCUUAUUUUCUAUUCAAAGAUUUAGUGUAAUUCACGGCAAAAGGAGAAAACUCCACUCUCUCUCUC